ACAAUAUAAUCAAACAACAUAAUCAAUCAAUCCUUUACAGUACAAAAUCAAUCAUAGUUUUUUCACACAACAUAAAACUAAAAUUAAACCAAAUAAUGUAAAUAGCUUAAGAUAUGGAAAAUCUUCUUCUCCUAGGCUUAGUAAGAUCUAGAGCAGCAUCAUCAACAAUACUAGAAGUGUCCUUUGAUCCAUGUUUAAAGGGAUUGAAUUUGCCUAAUGUUUUGGAGACAGAAGAGAAGAAUGUUGUCUUCUUCAGACUCCCUUUUGAUGUUCCUUGACUAGAAUUUGUUGUUUUCUGUAUAUCUGCUAUGUACAUCUUCAUCUUUAGCAACUCCGUUCUCAAAACUUCAUUUUCCUUUACGAGGGAAACAUCAGCUUGUAAUUGAUUCCUUGUUGCCAUGGCUUCGGGCAUGUUGUUAUUACUAUCAUCUGCUGCUCCGCUCCUUAUCUUUAGUUGAUCGAAAUAGAGAGCAUGAAGGACUAUUUGCACCGGCAAACGUUUGUUUUGAGAAGCAUGGACUCUUGCUUCAUGUGAUAGUUUCAAAGGAUCCAUCACACUACACACUUUUUCUCUUUCAAUUUCAUCCAAAUGUGGAUGUGCCUUCAAGUAGAUAUCAACAGCUCGAUAAAGAUCAUCAUCAGCCUUUCUCGCGCCCUUAGGAACCAAAAUAGCAAUUCCAUUGAAUUUUGAUAUACUGAGAUCUCCAAAUGUAGCGAUUUCACCAAGAUAAGCAUCGACAGUCUUUGCAACUCUCUGCAUAGCGGUGGUACAAACGUCUCCAAAAUCACCACCUUUAAACACAGCUACACUCUUCUCUUUCUCCAUAAAUCCGGAAAUGAUUCUCCUCACGCUCUCAAGAUCGAAUAGUCUUUCUCCGUCGUAAGAAAAAGACAAGACUAACAGAUCAUCGACUGUCACGUGUUCUAGUAUUGCUGAUAUCCUUUUCUCCAAUUCAUUCUUGCAGCUACUGGCUGCUCUUAAGAAAAUAGCUGUACGCAGGAGACAACACAAGAAAUUGAUUGGAAAAGCUGCUCUCUCCGCGGGCAACAGAGUCACAAUCGACUCUAGAAGUUCCCGUUGAUGCAUUCUCAUAUCCGAAUCCUCUGGUACCAUUAAUCUCGUGUUGUUUCCUGAGUGGUCACGUACAAGAUCACGAAGAGAUCUCUCUGUAUAUGUGAUUAUGGCACUUGCUAUGGUUAACGCUUUUGCCCCACGAGUUUUCAUUGCAACAAUAAUUCUCUCGAAAAAAGCUACAUCUAAGAUAGUUAACUCUUCCGUCCACCAAUUUGGUGGUGAUCUGCUAGGAAAAUUCGCCUCCACACACGCCUUAGCACCGGCGAUGUCAACACAUCUUUGAAUGAUAUUGAGAUCAUGUGCAAGAGGAAGAAGAUUUUCACAUGACUUUAACACAACAAGUGCACCAGAAAGGCUAGUCAAGGCAACUUGAGCUAGAAAAUCCUCUGUUCUGCUUGCGAGAUUGUUGUCACAGUAUUUAUCAGUCAUUUGAAGAUAUUCAGCAGCACAACGAAGAGCAGCAACGUUAUGUACUGUGAUUUCAAAGUUAACUCCAUAGCAGAACUUGGCUGCCUUCUCAAACAUCUCUGGCCCUCCAGGAAUAUCAGACAAGUUUAUACGACUUACAUCACUUUCUUUAGUAUCAAGUAUAAGUUUCCUUAUGUAAUUGCUCUUUGCUACUAGCAUGAACUUGUGAAGAUUAAAGUUUGCUUCACCUACUUCAACAAUAACAUCAGUUGGAAUUUCUUGUGAAAAUACCCAUUGGCCAGUUCUUUCCAUUGCAAGAGAGAGUCUAUUGGUAUUUUUGAGAGGAGUAGCCAUGUGAGAUUGGUUUUAG
rnacentral:misc_RNA from 1 species